CAAGGAAUCUCUCAAUUACUUCUCUUGAUAUGAUUAAUGCUUCAUCGAUCAAUAUAAUUGAGAGGAAAUCUGCAGUGGUAAUCUGCUCUGUCGAGAGCUUCCCAGCUUCUAACCUGACGUGGCAACAUCUUAAUGUCCCAAUGAACAGAACAAGUUCCAACAAUGAGCUGUGGUUGGUGAUUCCUCACGUUACAUCCAGGGACACUGGAGACUAUCAGUGUGUGGCAGAGAAUGAACAUGGAUCAGUGGAGGGAUUCAUAACCAUCACUGUGGAACGGUGAGAUUCCAAUGAAUGGAAAGCAGGAUUGCUUGGAGCUGGAAUCUGUUUGAGUGUUGGACUGAGUGGAUUCUUCAUCUUCAAGUGUGUGAGAAAAGGGAGCAGCACAGGAAGAGGUCAUUCAGCCCA